rnacentral:rRNA from 1 species
AUUGAACGCUGGCGGAAUGCUUUACACAUGCAAGUCGAACGGCAGCACGGGGGCAGCCCUGGUGGCGAGUGGCGAACGGGUGAGUAAUACAUCGGAACGUGCCCGGUCGUGGGGGAUAACGUAGCGAAAGUUACGCUAAUACCGCAUACGAUCUGAGGAUGAAAGCGGGGGACCUUCGGGCCUCGCGCGAUCGGAGCGGCCGAUGUCAGAUUAGGUAGUUGGUGGGGUAAAGGCCUACCAAGCCGACGAUCUGUAGCUGGUCUGAGAGGACGACCAGCCAACCUGGGACUGAAACCCGCCCCAAACCCCCAGGGGGGGCAGCGGGGGGGAAUUUUGGACAAGGGGGGAAAGCCUGACCCAGCCUUUCCGGGGGCAGGACGAGGGCCUUCGGGUUGUAAACUGCUUUUGUACGGAACAAAAAGGCUCUGGCUAAUACCUGGGGCUCAUGACGGUCCCGUAAAAAUAAGCACCAGCUAACUACGU